UCUGUAGCUCAGUUGGUAGAGCAGGGGACUGAAAAUCCCCGUGUCGUUGGUUCGAUUCCGACCG
rnacentral:tRNA from 1 species